rnacentral:rRNA from 1 species
AUUGAACGCUGGCGGCAGGCCUAACACAUGCAAGUCGAGCGGAUGAAGGGAGCUUGCUCCUGGAUUCAGCGGCGGACGGGUGAGUAAUUCCUAGGAAUCUGCCUGGUAGUGGGGGAUAACGUCCGGAAACGGGCGCUAAUACCGCAUACGUCCUGAGGGAGAAAGUGGGGGAUCUUCGGACCUCACGCUAUCAGAUGAGCCUAGGUCGGAUUAGCUAGUUGGUGGGGUAAAGGCCUACCAAGGCGACGAUCCGUAACUGGUCUGAGAGGAUGAUCAGUCACACUGGAACUGAGACACGGUCCAGACUCCUACGGGGGGCAGCAGUGGGGAAUAUUGGACGAUGGGAGAAAGCCUGAUCCAGCCAUGCCGCGUGUGUGAAGAAGGUCUUCGGAUUGUAAAGCACUUUAAGUUGGGAGGAAGGGAAGUAAGUUAAUACCUUGCUGUUUUGACGUUACCAACAGAAUAAGCACCGGCUAACUUCGUG